CAGCAGCCGCGGGAACACGUAGGGCGCAAGCGUUGUCCGGAAUUAUUGGGCGUAAAGAGCUCGUAGGCGGUCUGUCGCGUCUGGUGUGAAAUCCCGAGGCUCAACCUCGGGCUUGCAUCGGGUACGGGCAGACUAGAGUGCGGUAGGGGAGACUGGAAUUCCUGGUGUAGCGGUGGAAUGCGCAGAUAUCAGGAGGAACACCGAUGGCGAAGGCAGGUCUCUGGGCCGCAACUGACGCUGAGGAGCGAAAGCAUGGGGAGCGAACAGGAUUAGAUACCCCCGUAGUCCCUGUCUCUUAUAC
rnacentral:rRNA from 1 species